rnacentral:lncRNA from 1 species
GGUGACCAGAGAGCAGUGUGAGGAUUUGGCAGCGACGUGUUGACGCUGCGCUUGCGUACGGUACGUAGGGCAAGUCUGGAAGGCCGCUGGGAAAAUACCAGCAUCCCGAACGCAAAAAACGGACAGCGGGUCCACGUGCUAGGGAUUCGAAGGCAUCAAAUGCAGGUGGGAAGAUCCCGCUAGACUAAAAUAGCUUAUCUUUAUCAAAACCGGAAAUGCCAAAUGGACACGUGAGAGGAGGGUUCGGUUAAAUAACUGAAGAUGGUGGCUUACAAGGUUUCAGUGUGCUUCUGGAAAAGGAAAUAAUAUUCAGGAUGCCUAACACUGAUGAGUGAAGCCUCAAGUUAAUGAGCACUGAGCUGGAGGCUUCCUAAAACACUAUGCAAAUGUGUAUUAAACAAGCCUAGGGGAAACGCAGACCGACUGGACCAUUUUAAGAUGGUUGAUACAACUUCUGAAAGUCUGAAGAACUUUGUUUCAAGCUGGUAUUAGCAUUUCACCAAGAGGAUCAGGAAGUUCUGCAUUCGGGUGAAGUAGAUUUCUCAUUAACAUGGGUGAAAAAUACCUAUUUAUAGUAUAAUUCGUUGAACCGAGGGCGCCGCAACUCCGAGCGGGGUUGAGAAGCCUGUUUGGAUCCAGCUCUGCCAUUCAGGGGCGUGAGGUUACCAAUGUAGCAGUGAAGAAAGUCAGGGAUCACAGGCUCUCCUCAUUGUUAUAACAUUAGUAACAACACAGGAGGUCAGGAAAACAAGGGAGAAGUAGCUUGUGGCACCGGGAAUGAUGGACAGCAACAUGGUCUCUGGCUGGCAUCGUCAAUCAGACGCCGAGGCGGAUUCAGAGGCUCCAAGGACUACGAACACCAACAUGGCCUCCAGCGGCAGCACUGAUCAUGGAAGUCUUUCAAGGGGACAGCUUAGAAAAUGAAUCUGUCUUCAUCUCGGAUAGCUUAUUGCUCAGAGUCAGGGUGAUUGUGGGAUCGGUCAGCGUGUGUGUGGAACAGAAGUGGGCGUGCGGGGACACCUAGAAGAGCUGCGGCUCCAUUCUGUGGGUUAGGCCUGCGGGCUGAGUGGCAGCGGUACUGUCCUAGCAGGCGGGGACCGGGUGAAGUGGAUCUGAUAGUGGCCCGAGCCUCCAGGGGCGGAGGAGAACCUUCUCUACUGGGCAAUGACAUGCUCCUUUGGGCCCUCUGACGCAGCCGUGCUCCAUAUCCAUCGCUGCCCAGUCUCGCUUCUCUCUGUGGCACUACUCUGUUCUGCGGUAUAGAAAAAAAAAUGCUUGGGGGUGGCGCACGCCAUUUAACUUUUCAUAAUUUCCAUCUCUUUGCUGAAAUUCCCUCUGACUAUACCCAUUGUCAGCUUUCUCCACCAGAUCCUUUAAUGUAUUGUUACACUUUUUAAAAUUCUUCUUUGCUAAUUUGAAUACUCAGAUCAUAUGCAAAUCUGC